GGGAACUGAAACAUCUAAGUACCCAUAGGAAAGGACAUCAACCGAGACUCCGUUAGUAGCGGCGAGCGAACGCGGACCAGGCCAGUGGCAAUAGUAAGAAAAGCGGAAGCGUCUGGAAAGUCGUGCCGUAGUGGGUGAUAGCCCCGUACGCGUUAAUCGAUCUAUUGUCCUCGAGUAGGGCGGAACACGUGAAAUUCUGUCUGAACAUGGGGGGACCACCCUCCAAGCCUAAGUACUCGUGCAUCACCGAUAGCGAACCAGUACCGUGAGGGAAAGGUGAAAAGUACCCCGGGAGGGGAGUGAAAUAGUACCUGAAACUGGAUGCCUACAAACAGUGGGAGGCCGCAAGGCUGACCGCGUACCUUUUGUAUAAUGGGUCAACGACUUAGUGUAGCAAGCAAGCUUAAGCCGAUAGGUGUAGGCGUAGCGAAAGCGAGUCUUAA
rnacentral:rRNA from 1 species